rnacentral:rRNA from 1 species
UACAGAGGUCUCAAGCGUUGUUCGGAUUCAUUGGGCGUAAAGGGCGCGUAGGCGGCGGGGUAAGUCGGGUGUGAAAUCUCAGAGCUCAACUCUGAAACUGCACUCGAUACUGCUCUGCUUGAGGACUGGAGAGGAGACUGGAAUUCACGGUGUAGCAGUGAAAUGCGUAGAUAUCGUGAGGAAGACCAGUGGCGAAGGCGGGUCUCUGGACAGUUCCUGACGCUGAGGCACGAAGGUCAGGGGAGCAAACGGG